ACGUACACUCCUGCGGGAGGCAGCAGUGGGGAAUAUUGGACAAUGGGCGCAAGCCUGAUCCAGCCAUGCCGCGUGAGUGAUGAAGGCCCUAGGGUUGUAAAGCUCUUUCACCGGUGAAGAUAAUGACGGUAACCGGAGAAGAAGCCCCGGCUAACUUCGUGCCAGCAGCCGCGGUAAUACGAAGGGGGCUAGCGUUGUUCGGAUUUACUGGGCGUAAAGCGCACGUAGGCGGACUAUUAAGUCAGGGGUGAACUCCCGGGGCUCAACCCCGGAACUGCCUUUGAUACUGGUAGUCUUGAGUUCGGGAGAGGUGAGUGGAAUUCCGAGUGUAGAGGUGAAAUUCGUAGAGAUUCGGAGGAACACCAGUGGCGAAGGCGGCUCACUGGCUCGAUACUGACGCUGAGGUGCGAAAGCGUGGGGGGCAAACAGGAUUAGAUAACCGAGUAGUCCCAUGAU
rnacentral:rRNA from 1 species